rnacentral:rRNA from 1 species
ACGACGGUGAGCGGCGAAAGCGUGGGGAGCAAACAGGAUUAGAUACCAUGGUAGUCCACGCGGUAAACGAUGAAUGCCAGACGUCGGGCAGCAUGCUGUUCGGUGUCACACCUAACGGAUUAAGCAUUCCGCCUGGGGAGUACGGUCGCAAGAUUAAAACUCAAAGGAAUUGACGGGGGGCCGCACAAGCGGUGGAGCAUGUGGUUUAAUUCGAAGCAACGCGCAGACCCUUACCGACCCUUGACAUGGGUAUCGCGGAUUCAGAGAUGGAUCUUUCAGUUCGGCUGGAUACCACACAGGUGCUGCAUGGCUGUCGUCAGCUCGUGUCUUGAGAUGUUCGGUUAAGUCCGGCAACGAGCGCAACAUCACACCCUUAGUUGCCAGCAUUCAGUUGGGCACUCUAGGGGAACUGAAGAUGAUAAGUCGGAGGAAGGUGUGGAUGACGUCAAGUCCUCAUGGCCCUUACGGGUUGGGCUACACACCUGUUACAAUGGCAGUGACAAUGGGUUAAUCCCAAAAAGCUGUCUCAGUUCGGAUUGGGGUCUGCAACUCGACGCCAUGAAGUAGGAAUCGUUAGUAAUCGUGUAACAGCAUCCCGCGGUGAAUACGUUCCCGGGCCUUGUACACACCGCCCGU